CCCUCUUGUGGUAAGUGAGCAGAUUGCUCUCGGUUUGGUACAGUACCUGGGAAUGGAGUGCAGAUAGAGCAAAAGUCUGCAGAACUCAUGAGGAGAAAGUUGAGUGGACGGCCAGCCUUUUCUGCCCCCGUAGACCUCAACCACAGCCCGGCCAGCUCUGUCACGACUUCCUGGUAUUGAUGCAGAGCAGAGCGGCUGAAACUCAUUAUGACUGUAUUAAGAUUCGAGAAACUGGAUCAGAGACGAGGGGCUUAUAGUCGUGAGACAUAAAGGAAGAACAUCUGGUCCACAUGCAGACACAUGAUGAGAGAGCUUACAUGCAUUUUCACAGUGUUAUCAACAACAAUGUACUUUAUAUUGAAAUAUGAAAACGCAUGCAUGCCUGAAUGAGUGCUGUGAUUUUACAGAAGGAACGUGUGAAACAGCACCCUCUACUGGCUGAUUGUUUUGACAAUAAUAAUUCUCCCAAAGAUGAAAAUAUCACUCUCAUGCUUUUUCUUUUUUUGAGUGAACUCCAACUACCGCUUUAGUGACCAUGAAAGGAACACGAGUGAGUGUGUGGUGAAUGUGUUUGUGAGACUCAGGAGGUCGGUCACUCCUGUCAUAUCUUUUCUGAGUGUUUGCUUUAAGCUCAAAAGAUACGGGUUUGUGUUUGAGUGUGUGAAUGUCUGGACAUUUCAGGCAAACACACCUAUUCUGCUGAGUCUCCAUGUGUGUGAGGAGAUUAGCUGUGUUUACACAGAGUGUGUUAUCAGUCAUUAGUCUGAGAGCCACACACACACACACACACCUCUGUUUAAAUUCAUUUGUUCUAAUGCUGAGCCAUCACAUCGAGAACCUGAGUGCAGAAUAAACCUUUCAUAUACACAUUAUCAGCUUGUCAAGCUCAUCUGACCAACAGUUGUUGAGAGGUUUAGAAAACAGGUGAUGUUAAGCUUCUUUAUCAGUGUUUACAGCAUUGCACAUGAGAUUUAAAUAGGCUAUUUAGGUUUUUCAACUGUGCAUGAUUCAUGAUGCACAAUCUACAGUAUUGGUACUAUACUGGUUAUCAGCUCGUAUUAGAGAUUUUUCUUAAAUUGGUUGAUAUUGGAUAUAUUGGCUGAUUUUUAAUUGCUCCUUAUUAUCUUUUCUAUCAACAUGCUCAAAGUUAAACUUUAAAAACUCGAAUAAUUUAAUAAAACUGUCAUAUGAA